AGCAUUAUACAUUAUCUAGAAACAAGAGCUUUAUAAAAUCAAGCAAAGGUAAUACCACUAAAAUAUACCAUUAAUAAAAUUGGUCUUAAAGAGAAAUAAGACAAGGAAAUUGAAAGAGCGGGGCUUAAGAAGUUAGGGCAUGACUGAUUGAACAGAGAUCAAGCAGAAGGACCAAACUGGGGAUUGGAUAACUGACAAAGUAGAAGGGUGAUUCUUCCAAUCUCAAUUACAUGGUUCCUCAAUAGUUUUUGAGUUAGUUCCUCAACUUUAUCUUCCAAUUCAUUAUCCUCACAACAUAUAAUUUUCAUCACAGGGACCCUUAUUCUUACCUGGUCCCUCCUCUCGACCCUUCAGAUUAACAGUCAUCAAAGUAACAAUCUCAGUAUCCCUUUAUGCUAAGAGAGAAAUUAUUUCUUCCAAAUCCCCAUUCAACUAGUUUUGAAAUUUGAUCAGGUCUACUACCACUGACUUUGACUUCACUCCACUUUGCCUAGUGAUGCACUCAUUAUCCUCUAAAGUGGACACUGUGAACUUUUUCUUAAUGGAUCUAUUGUCUCUCUUCUCUCGAUAGUGAUUUUCCCUUCCCUUUAGAUGUAGCGGAUUUCACACUAGGACCAGUUCCCUUGAUGAAUAUACCAAACUCUUUGGAAGACUUGGUUGUUUUGAAAUUAGGACCUGGUCCCUUAGAGCUUUGUGCCUCUUCCCUCUUUAUUUUUCCUCCAUUGGUAGACACUAACUUCUUUAUCAUUACUUUUACAGCUUUGACUUUCAUUGGUGUAAUAAUAGUACUAGCCUUAACUUUGGUCCUUUCAGCGACCACACUCAUUGCCAUAUUCUAAUCACUCUCUUCUUCAAAAUCACUAUUACUCUUAGUUUCCUUAGACUACUUCAUAGCCACAUUAUCUAUUAUGGGUACAUCAAGCUUGACUACAAAUCUACUUCUAGAUUUUUCUUCUUUUGGGUACUAAGUGUGCUUUUAAUCAAUGCAUCCUCCAUUAAUUUCUUGGAACUCAACCUGGUCUCAUGAGUUUAGCCAGCUAUUGAUGGCAGUCUGGUAUUGGAAAAAACCUUUUGUUUGGUGAAUUUCCAAGAAUACGGCUUGUCAUUAUCACUAUCAGAGGUCUCUUUUUCAUCCAUAACCUUCUUAGAUACAAUAUUACUAGGGGGAAAAUAUCACCUUUUUCCUCAGCAUCCUUAGAAGGAUUAUUAUAUUGCAACAUUGCAAGGGAACCAGGAGUGUUAUCCCACUUGAAAGGUGUAGGAGUGCUUGAAUCUUAAGGGUUCUCCUUUCUUAGGGCAUUUAAUCCUUAGAUACCUAUUUCCUCACUCACAAAAAUAUGUUUGGAGAUGUUUUUUUUGAAUUAGAAAGAUCCCCGUCAAACAUGUGUUUCUCAACAACAUGACUCUUAGGAAAGGUAGAUGGAGUAGGAUAUUUAGGUAGGGUUAUUUUAAAAGGAUAAACUGAUUAGAAAGCCUGAGGAAUAAGGUGGGAUAUCAAUUCAGUGAUAGACUCUGAUUCUCUUUCAAUAGAUAUAGAAAAUCUAAAGUAGGAAUAGAUGGAAUGUCUUGACCAACAGUCACUUGAAAAGAGGAAGAUAAUAUAUUUUUAACUUUUAGUAGUGUAAAGAGACUCACAUCAGUGGAAGUGGGGGAAGAGUGAAUAUAAUCACUGCUAUAAGGAGAGAAUAAAAAAGAAACAACUUGAACAAGUUUGGAAUCAUUUGGAGAAGGAGAUGAGGGAGAUAAAUGAGAUAGAUUACAAGAUUUCUUAACUGUUAUGUUCUCAAAGAAAUUUUAAGAGGAAGAGAAAAUUUGGGAACUGAUAUGGUGAGAGUUUUGGUUGUGAAGGUAAAGAGAGUGAUGGAUGGGGUUUAAAUAAGGGAGGAA
rnacentral:lncRNA from 1 species